UGUCCCUGAUGGGUGUCCCAGGUGGGUGUCCCUGUCCCAGGUGGGUGUCCCUGUCCCAGGUGGGUGUCCCAGGUGGGUGUCCCUGUCCCAGGUGGGUGUCCCUGUCCCAGGUGGGUGUCCCAGGUGGGUGUCCCUGUGUCCCCUGACCCCCCUGUGUCCCAGGUGGGUGUCCCUGUGUCCCAGGUGGGUGUCCCUGUGUCCCCU